AUUGAACGCUGGCGGGAGGCUUUACACAUGCAAGUCGAGCGAGCGGCGGACGGGUGAGUAAUGUCUGGGAAACUGCCUGAUGGAGGGGGAUAACUACUGGAAACGGUAGCUAAUACCGCAUACCAUCAGAUGUGCCCAUAUGGGAUUAGCUAGUAGGUGGGGUAAUGGCUCACCUAGGCGACGAUCCCUAGCUGGUCUGAGAGGAUGACCAGCCACACUGGAACUGAGACACGGUCCAGACUCCUACGGGAGGCAGCAGUGGGGAAUAUUGCACAAUGGGGGAAAGCCUGAUGCAGCCAUGCCGCGUGUGUGAAGAAGGCCUUCGGGUUGUAAAGCACUUUCAGCAAGGAGGCGGUACUUGCAGAAGAAGCACCGGCUAACUCCGUGCCAGCAGCCGCGGUAAUAC
rnacentral:rRNA from 1 species